UACGUAGGGUGCGAGCGUUGUCCGGAAUUAUUGGGCGUAAAGAGCUCGUAGGCGGUCUGUCGCGUCGGCUGUGAAAACCCGGGGCUCAACUCCGGGCCUGCGGUCGAUACGGGCAUCACUGGAGUUCGGCAGGGGAGACUGGAAUUCCUGGUGUAGCGGUGAAAUGCGCAGAUAUCAGGAGGAACACCGGUGGCGAAGGCGGGUCUCUGGGCCGAUACUGACGCUGAGGAGCGAAAGCGUGGGGAGCGAACAGG
rnacentral:rRNA from 1 species